GUUCGCUUCGCGCACGCCGGCCAGGCGCUCGCGCUCGUGGCGCGCGCGUUCGACGUCGAGCGCGGUCGGCGCAUGUUCGAGCCGCCCGGCGCUCGC
rnacentral:tRNA from 1 species